rnacentral:rRNA from 1 species
AGUUAACGUUGGCGGCGUGCCUAACACAUGCAAGUCGAACGCGUCCUAAGGGCAACUUUAGGAUGAGUGGCGAACGGGUGAGUAUCACGUGGGUAAUCUUCCUUCAAGUGGGGAAUAAGCUCUCGAAAGGGAGUCUAAUACCGCAUGACAUUCCGGGACACAAGUCCCGUAAUCAAAGCCGCAAGGCGCUUGAAGAUGAGCCUGCGUCCUAUUAGCUAGUUGGUGGGGUAACGGCCUACCAAGGCUCAGAUGGGUAGCCGGCCUGAGAGGGUGAACGGCCACACUGGGACUGAGACACGGCCCAGACUCCUACGGGAGGCAGCAGUGAGGAAUUUUGCGCAAUGGGGGAAACCCUGACGCAGCGACGCCGCGUGAGCGAUGAAGGCCUUCGGGUCGUAAAGCUCUGUCUAGGGGAAGAGGAAGGACGGUACCUCUGGAGGAAGCCACGGCUAACUACGUG